UCCAGUGGUUGUCAGCUACCCAGGUUGCAUGGUGCUUCAGCUCCUGUUGCACCACACUACUUUUUUAGUGGCCUGGCCCUUAGCACUGUACUGGUGUAGGGACUGAGGACAUGGGGACAGUGUGUUGCACCUCUAAGAGUAGAAUAGCUCCUCCCUGCAGAAUUGGUUCUAGUCUGGGUACUAACAAU
rnacentral:snoRNA from 1 species